AUGGUGCGAUCUAUGAUGUCUCUUACCGAUUUACCGCUAUCUUUUUGGGGCUAUGCUUUAGAGACUGCCGCAUUCACUUUAAAUAGGGCUCCGUCGAAAUCCGUUGAGACGACACCGUAUGAAUUAUGGUUUGGGAAGAAACCUAAGCUGUCGUUUCUAAAAGUUUGGGGAUGCGAUGCUUAUGUCAAGAAACUUCAACCUGAAAAGCUCGAACCCAAAUCGGAAAAAUGUGUCUUCAUAGGAUACCCUAAAGAAACUAUUGGGUAUACCUUCUACCUCAGAUCCGAAGGCAAGAUCUUUGUUGCCAAGAAUGGAUCCUUUCUGGAGAAAGAGUUUCUCUCGAAAGAAGUAAGUGGGAGGAAAGUAGAACUUGAUGAAGUAUUACCUCUUGAACCGGAAAAUGGCGCAACUCAAGAAAAUGUUCCUGAGGUGCCUGCACCGACUAGAGAGGAAGUUAAUGAUGAUGAUCAAGAUACUUUUGAUCAAGCUCCUACUGAAAUUCGAAGGUCCACAAGGACACGUUCCGCACCAGAGUGGUACGGCAACCCUGUCUUGAAAAUCAUGUUGUUAGACAACGAUGAACCUUCGAACUAUGAAGAAGCGAUGGCGGGCCCGGAUUCCGACAAAUGGCUAGAAGCCAUGAAAUCCGAGAUAGGAUCCAUGUAUGAAAACGAAGUAUGGACUUUGACUGACUUGCCCGUUGAGCGGCGAGCCAUAGAAAAUAAAUGGAUCUUUAAGAAGAAGACAGACGCGGAUGGUAAUGUGACCAUCUAUAAAGCUCGGCUUGUCGCUAAGGGUUAUCGACAAGUUCAAGGGGUUGACUAUGAUGAGACUUUCUCACCGGUAGCGAAGCUAAAGUUUGUCCGAAUCUUGUUAGCAAUUGCCGCAUUCUAUGAUUAUGAAAUAUGGCAAAUGGACGUCAAAACGGCAUUCCUUAAUGGUUUCCUUAAGGAAGAAUUGUAUAUGAUGCAGCCGAAAGGUUUUGUCGAUCCUAAGAAUGCUGACAAGGUGUGCAAGCUCCAAUGCUCGAUUUAUGGGCUGGUGCAAGCAUCUCGGAGUUGGAACAUUCGCUUUGAUGAGAUGAUCAAAGCGUUUGGGUUUACGCAGACUUAUGGAGAAGCCUGUGUUUACAAGAAAGUGAGUGGGAGCUCUGUAGCAUUUCUCAUAUUAUAUGUAGAUGACAUACUUUUGAUGGGAAAUGAUAUAGAACUCUUGGACAACAUUAAGGCCUACUUGAAUAAGAGUUUUUCAAUGAAGGACCUUGGAGAAGCUGCUUAUAUAUUAGGCAUCAAGAUCUACAGAGAUAGAUCAAGACGCCUCAUAGGUCUUUCACAAAGCACAUACCUUGAUAAGAUAUUGAAGAAGUUCAAUAUGGAUCAGUCUAAGAAGGGGUUCCUGCCUGUGUUACAAGGUGUGAAAUUGAGCUCAGCUCAAUGUCCGACCACGGCAGAAGAUAUAGAAGAGAUGAGUGUCAUCCCCUAUGCCUCAGCCAUAGGUUCUAUUAUGUAUGCCAUGCUGUGUAUCAGACCUGAUGUAAAUUUUGCCGUAAGUUUGGUAGGAAGGUACCAAAGUAAUCCCGGCAAGGAACACCGGACAGCGGUCAAGAAUAUCCUGAAGUACCUAAAAAGGACUAAGGAAAUGUUUCUCGUCUAUGGAGGUGACGAAGAGCUCGUCGUAAAGGGUUAUGUCGACGCUAGCUUCGACACAGAUCUGGAUGACUCAAAGUCACAAACCGGAUACGUGUAUAUUUUGAAUGGUGGGGCAGUAAGCUGGUGCAGUUGCAAGCAGAGCGUCGUGGCGGGAUCUACAUGUGAAGCGGAGUACAUGGCAGCCUCAGAGGCAGCACAUGAAGCAAUUUGGGUGAAGGAGUUCAUCACCGACCUAGGAGUCAUACCCAAUGCGUCGGGGCCGAUCAAGCUCUUCUGUGACAACACUGGAGCUAUU
rnacentral:rRNA from 1 species